rnacentral:rRNA from 1 species
GAAAACGACUGCUAAGACUGGAUAGGAGACAAGAAGGCAUCUUCUUGUUUUUAAAAGACCUAGCAAUAGGUAUGCUUAGGGAGGAGCUUGCGUCACAUUAGUUAGUUGGUGGGGUAAAGGCCUACCAAGACUAUGAUGUGUAGCCGGGCUGAGAGGUUGAACGGCCACAUUGGGACUGAGACACGGCCCAAACUCCUACGGGAGGCAGCAGUAGGGAAUUUUCGGCAAUGGAGGAAACUCUGACCGAGCAACGCCGCGUGAACGAUGAAGUAUUUCGGUACGUAAAGUUCUUUUAUUAGGGAAGAAUAAAUGAUGGAAAAAUCAUUCUGACGGUACCUAAUGAAUAAGCCCCGGCUAACUAUGUGCCAGCAGCCGCGGUAAUACAUAGGGGGCAAGCGUUAUCCGGAAUUAUUGGGCGUAAAGGGUGCGUAGGCGGUUAAAUAAGUUUAUGGUCUAAGUGCAAUGCUCAACAUUGUGAUGCUAUAAAAACUGUUUAGCUAGAGUAAGAUAGAGGCAAGUGGAAUUCCAUGUGUAGUGGUAAAAUGCGUAAAUAUAUGGAGGAACACCAGUAGCGAAGGCGGCUUGCUGGGUCUUUACUGACGCUGAGGCACGAAAGCGUGGGGAGCAAACAGGAUUAGAUACCCUGGUAGUCCACGCCGUAAACGAUGAGUACUAAACGUUGGGUAAAACCAGUGUUGAAGUUAACACAUUAAGUACUCCGCCUGAGUAGUACGUACGCAAGUAUGAAGCUUAAAGGAAUUGACGGGACUCCGCACAAGCGGUGGAUCAUGUUGUUUAAUUCGAAGGUACCCGAAAAACCUCACCAGGUCUUGACAUGCUUCUGCAAAACUGUAGAAACACAGUGGAGGUUAUCAGUUGCACAGGUGGUGCAUGGUUGUCGUCAGCUCGUGUCGUGAGAUGUUGGGUUAAGUCCCGCAACGAGCGCAACCCUUAUUGUUAGUUACCAGCACGUAAUGGUGGGGACUUUAGCAAGACUGCCAGUGAUAAAUUGGAGGAAGGUGGGGACGACGUCAAAUCAUCAUGCCCCUUAUGACCUGGGCUACAAACGUGAUACAAUGGCUGUUACAAAGGGUAGCUAAAACGCAAGUUUUUGGCGAAUCUCAAAAAAACAGUCUCAGUUCGGAUUGAAGUCUGCAACUCGACUUCAUGAAGUUGGAAUCGCUAGUAAUCGCGAAUCAGCAUGUCGCGGUGAAUACGUUCUCGGGGUUUGUACACACCGCCCGUC